GUUUUAAGCUUUUUUUAAGAAUAUUACAGAGUUGCAAAGUUUUAUAACUAAGGAAUGAAAUUCAAACUCCCUUUUAGUUUUCACACAGGUAAGUAGGAGCACGAGAAGACCCAAAUCUGCAGACCUAGGGACCCGACUUGGAGAAUAAAGGUGGAGUAGGUCGACAAUAUAGGUGGGGGACACUCACCUUGUUGGGCCAUAAAACUGUGGGUGUGUCUCUGGGCCUGUACCCAGACUGUUCAUUGGAUAAUCCAGCCCAGGUUGAUGUGAUCUAAGGUCCUGUUGUUCUGCCGUUGAAAUGAGCUGUCCCCCGGCC
ensembl:lncRNA